rnacentral:lncRNA from 1 species
UGAAAAGGUGACAGGGAGCUGCCCCCUCUCAAGAGCCGGUGAUUGGGGGUCUGAGAAGUCACCACCAUGAAGUUGUUCGGCUUCGGGAGCCGCAGGGGCCAGAUGGUCCUGGACUCCAUAGACCACGUCUACACGGCUUCCGGGUACCGAAUCCGGCACUCCGAACUGCAGAAGAUCCACAAGGCGGCUGUCAAGGGCGACGCCACGGAGGUGGAGCGCUGUCUGGCGCGCAGGAGCGGAGACCUGGACGCCCUGGACAAGCAGCAAAGGUAGCGGGGGCUCAGCCCGGGGUGGGAGGGGGUCCCCAGGCGCGGCUUUCCGGCAGCCCCUGGGACGGGGGCCUUGGAGGUCGCCGGGCACCCUCUGAGCGGCGGAGCCAAACGGACCCUGAGCUGUUUUCCAUCCCUUAUAAUUCCCUGGCUGGAGCAGUUGGUGGAGAAUUUGAGUGAUUUAACUCACAAAUUUAAGCAUAUACAGUGUUGUUAUUUUUAACGUACACGUUUAAAACAUGGUAUAUAUACAUUAUAGGAGGUGCCUGAUGAGAGAACUCAUUUCCCUCUCAAAAAUACCGUGAGUUAUUUUCAGUAGGCGAAAAGUUCUCAGAUAAAACUGUCCGUUUUACAUCCGUAUCCCCCUGUGUAGGUAGGUUCUUUACUGAAGGUUCUUAGAGAGAAACUUGGAAGUGGGAGGUGGCUUCUGUGUUCUUGAAUGGGAAGGCACAUUUUUCCCAACAUGUGAGCUCUUUCUGUGUUAAUCAGUUUUACAUAGACCGAAUGAAAAUAUCAAGGUUUUAAGAUUUUUGUAUGACACCUGCUGUCUUUCGCUAUUGUGAUGACAUUUUAAAAAAUUUCAUAAUGGAGUGAAAAAACACUUGCUCCUCUAGAUAGCAAAAUGUGCUAUUAAUUUCUACAAUUAAUUGUUUACUAACAGCUGAAAAGACAGAUAAACGCAUGGAACAGAAUAGGCAACCCAGAAACACUAAAAUUAUGUAAGAUAUACAUAAGGAUUGAUGAGUAGGAAAGGAUGAAUUAUUAAUAAAAAAAGUCUGCUGUUUGAAGAAAACUAAUGAAAUUUUAUGUCACAAACAAAGUUCCUGAUGGAAUACAGAUUGAAAUUUUUACAUAUGCAAAUGAGUAAAGUACCAGAAGAAAACACAAACGCUUAUUUUGCAGGUACACUUUAUGUUGACAAAAGCCUUCCUAAGAAUGACCUCAUAAGCAGACAUUCUGAAGGUUGAUUUAGCAAACUAAAAAUUAAAACUGCCUGUGUUUCAGAAAAAAAAAACAACAAAAGAGAACUUACUUGAAAAAUAUUAACUAUAUUAUAUAUAUAUUCAAAUGAAAUGUAUGUUUUCAUUUUAUAGGGAAUUCAUUAUAUAUAUAUAUAUAUAUAUAUAUAUAUAUAUAUAUAUAUAUAUUUUUUUUUUUUUUUUUUUUUUUUUUUUUUUUUUUUUGAGUCAGAGUCUCACUUCUUUGCCCAGGGUGGUGUCCAAUGGCACAAUCUUGGCUCACUGCAACCUCUGCCUCCCGGGUUCAAGCAAUUCUCUUCGCUCAGCCUCCCAAGUAGCUGGGAUUACAGGCAGGUGCCAGCAUGCCUGGCUAACUUUGGUAUUUUUAGUAGAGAGGGGCUUCACCAUGUUGGCCAGGCUGGUCUCGAACUCCUGAGCUCAAGUGAUCUGCCUGCCUCAGCCUCUCAAAGUGCUGGGAUUACAGGCAUGAGCUACGGUGCCCGGCCUAUAUUGUUUAUUAUGUAUCGUAUGAUAUAUAUAUUAUUGAUACAUAUACCAUAUAUAUUAUUACAGAUAUAAUCUGUAAUAUAUAUAUCAGUUGUAUAUACACAUUAGAUGAAAAGUUGUAUGUAUAUAUACACAUUAGAUGAAAAGUACAUUUUCAUUUUACAGGGAAUUCUUUCAAAUCUAAUCAUCAAAAACUCUAAAACUGGGCAAAGUACUUUUUUCCAGAUCUACAAGUUACUUGUGUACGUAGGAAAAAGUCCUUCACAUUUCUAGUAUAAGAAUUUAAAAUAAAAGAGGAAUGAAACAGUUUUCUAUCCACAAUAUUUGUGAGGAUGUUUUACACUCCUGCUUAAAGUCUAAGUUGCUGAUUACUUUUCAAAUAGGUAAUUUGGUGGUAAGUACUACAUUUAAAAAAUAUGUAUGCCCUUUACCCAUCAAUUCCAUUAUACUAAAACACACUUAGGAAAUAAAGAUACAUGCACUUUAUUUUUUGCAACACUUAUUUUAAAAAGAACCCAUAGAAUGGAUCCUAUAAAUAAAUUUCAGUUGCAUCCGUAGGAUGGAAUAAUAUGUGACCGUUGAAGGUGGCAAUAGAUACAGAAGUACAUUGAUGUGUGAAGAUGUAUUUUGUUAUAGCUAGCGAGGAAAAAAAAUCAGUUAAAUUAUACAUACACACAAAUAUACUAUGGUCUUGUUUUAGCAAAAAAUAUGUACAAAAUAUAAAAUUUGUAAUUUCUGAGCAAUUGUAUUUUAAGUAAAGUUCUUUUCCUUUUUCUUAUCUGUGAUUGCUGCAGUGAGCGUGUACAAAGCUUCUAGUAAAGUUUAUUAAUAAAGGAAUAAUCCUUGGGAAGAGAGGAAUAUGAAUCUUACAAUAUUAAAAAUAAUUUCUCGCUUUCUAUUUUUAUCAUUAUUUUGUGUAUUGUUAUCUUCUUUGAACUUUUAGCCUCUUCAGAAGUAAAAAGGGAAUGUUUUUAUCUGUUUCCAGAUUUUAUUUUCUGUAUAUAUUAUUAUGAACAUGGUUUUCUUAUAUAUUCACUCAAUUUAUGCAAACAAUGAUAGAUUAAUAAUUUCAUUUCAAUUGUAUUCUUUAAAAAUAAAAAUAAUAUAUAAAUACUAUUGCAAAAAUAUUGCUUUAUAGGAGUUUAUUUAAAAAUAUCGAUCUCCCCAACUGUAUUUAUCCAUUCUUUCAUUCCAUUUAUUCAUCAAACAUAACCUGAGUACCUGUUAUGUAGCAGACAUAUUCUACUAUCUCUCAGGACGCUUCUAUCCUUAAAAACUACAUGUUUACCUGCCCUGCCUGCACAAGCUGAGAGAUUUAAUAUAGGAAUAUUGGGACUUAAUCUCCUUGAAACUUUAUCUCCCACCUUUCAAACAAAAGCAUUUCUGAACUUAGAAAAUAGUAGAAGAUAACCUUUAACUGCUCUUUGAAAAGUUUAUCAGUCUUAAAUACUAAUAUUAAUCAUUGGAAAGUGUUAUUUGCAUAUAUUCUGUAAGUAUUAUAAGUAUUGAAUAAAAUGAGCCAUGUGUAUUCAUUUGAAUCAUGAGUUUCCUUUGGCUUCAAUUUGUUUGAAAAUGAAGGAAUUAAUUUUUUUAAAAAAAUGCAUUAUUGUUAUUUCAGUGCUCUUUCCCCAUAGUACCUUUAAGAACUAAAAUGUAUUUAAGUGCCAGUUAUAU